CGAGAAGGAAGAGUCCGCAGACCGCACAGCCGGCUGACGGACCCAUGCCGUCUCCUGCGUGCUGUCCCCCAGGCCCGGGGCCGUCCACAGGCCACCUCCCCUCCAACCCCCAGCCCCUCCUGGUCCUCCCAGUGGGACGGCUGGGCCAGGCAGUGAGGAGGAAGGAAGACACCCGCAGGGAGACGGAGUUCUGCUUGGCUGUCACAGAGGGACUGAGGCUUGACGAACCUGCCCGGCUCCCUGGGGCAGCACCACUCACGCUUUGGGAGGAACCACGCACGACUGUAUAUUUCCUCUUUUAACUGAACAUACCCCGGCGUGGAAACCGACGUCGUCUGGGGUCUCCACUGAGCACUGGCACCUGGGGCUUGUCCCCCACCUCUGAUGCAUCUAGCAGGUGGCCC